AUGUUUGGAAGCAUCCUGGGAGAUCAUGAAAUUGCUGGUGGCAAUAGGAAAAAAUCAUUUAACUUCCAGUCUUCUUUGUGGGGAAGAAAGAUGCCAUGGAAACCACGCCCGUGUCUAAAGCAAGAGAUGGUGAAAAUGGUAUUGUUGUUUCCAUGGCUUCAAAAGGAGAUGUUGAUCUCGACACAAAGACAUUUAUCAGCAUCGAGAAUUUCUCCCUGGCUGCGAGGACUUCACCCACACUGCCCCAGCUACUUUCAGUCAAUAUUCUACACAAACUUUAAAGUCAGAUUCAAAUUCGUCGGCUUCCUCUCUGCUCACGUAGAAGAGAUCUUCCCUCCCCGCAAUGUUAGCUCUUCAGACCUUGGGUUAGAGCAGUGGUUCUCAGCUGGGAGUGAUUUCAUCCCUCCGGGGACUGUGGCAAUGUCUGGAGUCAUUUUUGGUUGUCACAAAUGGGAGGGAGGUACACUGUCAUCUAGAGUUUGUGGGUGCUGCGACACAUCCUACAACGCACAGGACCACCCCACAACAAAGGAUUAUGCAGCCCCAAACAUCCGCAGCGCUAAUGUUGAGAAAUCCUACUUGAGAGUGAUUUGUGAGCUGCCUUGGGAGCAGCAUUGACACAGUUGAUCUGUCCCCACUCCUUGGCUGUUUUCCUCCUUGGCUUCUGGGACACCGCACUCUCUGGGAUUCCUCCAACCUCACUGGUCCAUCUUCUUGUCACCUCUCACCUCCCCGACUUCUAAGCGUUGAGGCGUGCCUGGGCUUGCUGCUUGGGCUUCACCUCGCUAGCCAUUCUCACUCCGGUCUAUGCCUUUAAAUAUCUCCAGACACACCUGGAACCCUCCCCUGAAUUUACAUGUCAGCCAAGACCCCUCCUCUGAAUUCCAGGUUCAUAGAUUUAAAUAUCUCCACUUGGACGCCUCCAGGGCGUCUCAAACUCAGCAUAUCCAAAACUGAGCUCCUGAUAUUUCCCCCCCAGAAAUCUGCUCCCCCAACUGUCUCAGCCAAUGGCAAUGCCAUCUGCCCAUUUGCUCAGGGAAUUAACUUUGCCAUCAUCCUUAACCCCUGUCUUCCUCUCAAACACUCAUUGGAUCUACCAUCAAAUCCUGUUGACUCAAAAUAUAUCCAAAAUCUGACCACUUAUCUCCACUUCCCUGUUGUCACCCUGGCCUAAGCCAUCGUCUUCUCUUCACCUAGAACAUUGUGGAAGUCUCCUAACUGGUCUCCCUCCUUCCACCUCCAUCCCCUCCUCAAGACAGGAGUCAGAGUGAUCCUUUCAAAAUAUGUGUCAGAUCAGGACACUUCUCUGUUCAGAAUCCUCGGUGGCUCCUAUCAAACCGAAGUCCUUAUAAUAUCUUAUAAGGUUUGAUAUGAUCCAUCUGCUUCAAAAUCCCAACAGUAUCUUUCUGACUCACACCCUACUCCUC
rnacentral:lncRNA from 1 species